GACGAACGCUGGCGGCGUGCCUAAUACAUGCAAGUAGAACGCUGAAGAGAGGAGCUUGCUCUUCUUGGAUGAGUUGCGAACGGGUGAGUAACGCGUAGGUAACCUGCCUUGUAGCGGGGGAUAACUAUUGGAAACGAUAGCUAAUACCGCAUAACAAUGGAUGACACAUGUCAUUUAUUUGAAAGGGGCAAUUGCUCCACUACAAGAUGGACCUGCGUUGUAUUAGCUAGUAGGUGAGGUAAUGGCUCACCUAGGCGACGAUACAUAGCCGACCUGAGAGGGUGAUCGGCCACACUGGGACUGAGACACGGCCCAGACUCCUACGGGAGGCAGCAGUAGGGAAUCUUCGGCAAUGGGGGCAACCCUGACCGAGCAACGCCGCGUGAGUGAAGAAGAUUUUCGGAUCGUAAAGCUCUGUUGUAAGUCAAGAACGGGUGUGAGAGUGGAAAGUUCACACUGUGACGGGAGCUUACCAGAAAAGGACGGCUAACUACGU
rnacentral:rRNA from 1 species